UACGGGGGGAGCAAGCGUUGUUCGGAUUUACUGGGCGUAAAGGGCGCGUAGGCGGCGUGACUAGUCACUUGUGAAAUCUCCGGGCUUAACUCGGAACGGUCAAGUGAUACUGUCGUGCUAGAGUCCAGAAGGGGCAACUGGAAUUCUCGGUGUAGCGGUGAAAUGCGUAGAUAUCGAGAGGAACACCUGCGGCGAAGGCGGGUUGCUGGGCUGAUACUGACGCUGAUGCGCGAAAGCCAGGGGAGCGAACGGG
rnacentral:rRNA from 1 species